rnacentral:rRNA from 1 species
UAGGGAAUCUUCGGCAAUGGACGAAAGUCUGACCGAGCAACGCCGCGUGAGUGAAGAAGGUUUUCGGAUCGUAAAACUCUGUUGUUAGAGAAGAACAAGGACGUUAGUAACUGAACGUCCCCUGACGGUAUCUAACCAGAAAGCCACGGCUAACUACGUGCCAGCAGCCGCGGUAAUACGUAGGUGGCAAGCGUUGUCCGGAUUUAUUGGGCGUAAAGCGAGCGCAGGCGGUUUCUUAAGUCUGAUGUGAAAGCCCCCGGCUCAACCGGGGAGGGUCAUUGGAAACUGGGAGACUUGAGUGCAGAAGAGGAGAGUGGAAUUCCAUGUGUAGCGGUGAAAUGCGUAGAUAUAUGGAGGAUCACCAGUGGCGAAGGCGGCUCUCUGGUCUGUAACUGACGCUGAGGCUCGAAAGCGUGGGGAGCAAACAGG